GGACUACCAGGGUUUCUAAUCCUGUUUGCUCCCCACGCUGUCGCGCCUCAGCGUCAGUAAUGGACCAGGUCGCCGCCUUCGCCACCGGUGUUCUUCCCAAUAUCUACGAAUUUCACCUCUACACUGGGAAUUCCACGACCCUCUUCCACCCUCUAGUCACCCAGUAUCAAGCGCAGUCCCCAGGUUAAGCCCGGGAAUUUCACGCCUGACUAAAAUGACCGCCUACGCGCCCUUUACGCCCAGUAAUUCCGAGCAACGCUAGCCCCCUUCGUAUUACCGCGGCGGCUGACAC
rnacentral:misc_RNA from 1 species